rnacentral:rRNA from 1 species
GACGAACGCUGGCGGCAUGCCUAAUACAUGCAAGUCGAGCGAACAGAUGAAGUGCUUGCGCUUCUGACGUUAGCGGCGAACGGGUGAGUAACACGUAAGGAAUCUACCUAUAAGCGGGGGAUAACAUUCGGAAACGGGUGCUAAUACCGCAUAAUAUCUUCUUCCGCAUGGAAGAAGAUUGAAAGACGGCUCUGCUGUCACUUAUAGAUGACCUUGCGGUGCAUUAGUUAGUUGGUGGGGUAAUGGCCUACCAAGACGAUGAUGCAUAGCCGACCUGAGAGGGUGAUCGGCCACAUUGGGACUGAGACACGGCCCAAACUCCUACGGGAGGCAGCAGUAGGGAAUCUUCCGCAAUGGGCGAAAGCCUGACGGAGCAAUGCCGCGUGAGUGAAGAAGGCCUUCGGGUCGUAAAACUCUGUUAUAAGAGAAGAACAAAUUGUAGAGUAACUGCUACAGUCUUGACGGUAUCUUAUCAGAAAGCCACGGCUAACUACGUGCCAGCAGCCGCAGUAA